AUGUUGCUGCACUGACAGUGUGUCAGUGAACGCAUCCGUCGUCUCUAUGACUAGGUGUCAGACUAAGUGUAAGGGAAGUAAUCUAAACCACGACGAGUUCUGUGGGGGCGGUGAGAGUUUUGUCUCCGUCUAUAAAACAGGUUUGACCUCAGUGGAUGAAAAAACAAAACACCCGACCUAUGACCGCUUAUGGAUGCACCCCAAUAUUGAUGAAAGGGACAUUCAUUUACUCGAGCAAAACGAGGAGACAGGAAAUUAAGUCUUUAAAAAUGUAAUCGAGCAAAAAUCGUGUUAUUAAAGUACUGAUUCGCAUGAAAGACUUUAUUUUCCCCAAACACUUUGUCACUG